rnacentral:rRNA from 1 species
GACGAACGCUGGCGGCGUGCUUAACACAUGCAAGUCGAACGGAAAGGCCUCUUUCGGGGGGUACUCGAGUGGCGAACGGGUGAGUAACACGUGAGUAACCUGCCCUUGACUUUGGGAUAACUUCAGGAAACUGGGGCUAAUACCGGAUAGGAGCUCCUGCUGCAUGGUGGGGGUUGGAAAGUUUCGGCGGUUGGGGAUGGACUCGCGGCUUAUCAGCUUGUUGGUGGGGUAGUGGCUUACCAAGGCUUUGACGGGUAGCCGGCCUGAGAGGGUGACCGGCCACAUUGGGACUGAGAUACGGCCCAGACUCCUACGGGAGGCAGCAGUGGGGAAUAUUGCACAAUGGGUGGAAGCCUGAUGCAGCAACGCCGUGUGCGGGAUGACGGCCUUCGGGUUGUAAACCGCUUUCGCUCAUGACGAAGCUUUGUGUGACGGUAGUGGGUAAAGAAGCACCGGCUAACUACGG